rnacentral:lncRNA from 1 species
CUGCGCUGCGGGAGGAGGAAAUGACUCUGGGUACACGUUUUUCAUGACUCACUCUGAAAAGAAGAAAAUAAGCAGCACCUCUUAUCUCAGGAUACCAAGGGCAAAAAAAGUAAUAUAGCCAUAAAUGACCACCAGGCAUGGUACUUGGGGUCAGAACAAUGUCUCAGUUGGGGAUCCAGCAGGAAACAGCAUCCUUGAAAGGAAUGACUGAAGGAUUUAACGAAGGGACUCGUUACUGCGGUGUGGACAGGUUAAGGGACUAAGGAGGGAGAGUGAGGCACUCAGGGAUUAGAAACAGCAGGAAGCUUUACUGCUUCUAGGCACGAUGAGAGCAGGGCUAGAAGUGGCGUUGUUGGAACCGGAAGCCCUGUGGUCCUGAAGAGGAGCCACCCACUGGGAGCUGUGGCCGUACACAGACAGGGCUGGAACGAACAGAGCCCCGCAGACUGCAGCAGACCGCAGUGGCUGGGCCCCAGGAAGCAGGCAAGGAUCAGCGAGGCCAAGCAAUGGUGUGGGAACAGCCACACGCAGACGUGCAAGACGCGCUGGGCUGCGACAGCGAGCGCUCCAGCAGGAGCAUGGCUUGAUGAACGGUGUGCACAUCUGCAUCUGGGAUCUGAACCCGUGAACCCUGGGCCGCCGAAGCAGAGCAUGCAAACCCGACCACUACCUACUGGGCCAGCCCCUCAGUGAAUGUUUCAAACACAAAGAGCACUUCUGCUACAAAGACAUCUUGUCAAAUUGUUGAAGUUUCUAGAGAGAAUGUUUGCAGUCAAGCACGUGCGUCAGCGUUGGGCACAGUUUCAGGAAAGGGGGACGGUAUCAGCAACGACAGUUCUUCCAGGAAGCACAUCUUAUUUUGGGCUCUGUCACAGAGCCACCCUUUUACAGUACAGUCUCCCACAGGAGCCAAAAAUGGCUGCACAGUGCCCAAGGGCAGUGCACUAGGAAUGAAACUGAUAAACCGUCUUUAUUAACAAUUCUCCUAUAAUACAGGUACUCUCCUCUUCAAAGUUAGAUAUAAAAUACACUCUCUUUGGUAUUCAUGCCCUGGAAAUGCCACAGGAUUGUUCGUAUGCACAUCAGCUUUCAAUUGGAGAAUUAGCUAUGGAAAUUCUUCCUUCUCCUGCCACCUGGAUAAUAUUACUUCCACAAAUUAAAAAUGAG